AUUAAAACCAUUCUGUAAUGGGAUGGGAUCCGAAGGCCCAUUGAGGGAUAAUACAGGCUCUCCCAUCCAACUCCUAUUCCGACACGUCCUCGUCGUGCAGAGUGGUAACAUGUG
rnacentral:ribozyme from 1 species